rnacentral:rRNA from 1 species
UACGGAGGGAGCUAGCGUUGUUCGGAAUUACUGGGCGUAAAGCGCGCGUAGGCGGCUUUGUAAGUUAGAGGUGAAAGCCCGGGGCUCAACCCCGGAACUGCCUUUGAUACUGGGUAUCUUGAGUAUGGAAGAGGUAAGUGGAAUUGCGAGUGUAGAGGUGAAAUUCGUAGAUAUCAGGAGGAACACCGAUGGCGAAGGCAGGUCUCUGGGCUGACACUGACGCUCAUGCACGAAAGCGUGGGGAGCAAACAGG